rnacentral:rRNA from 1 species
GACGAACGCUGGCGGCGUGCUUAACACAUGCAAGUCGAACGGAAAGGCCCUGCUUUUGUGGGGUGCUCGAGUGGCGAACGGGUGAGUAACACGUGAGUAACCUGCCCUUGACUUUGGGAUAACUUCAGGAAACUGGGGCUAAUACCGGAUAGGAGCUCCUGCUGCAUGGUGGGGGUUGGAAAGUUUCGGCGGUUGGGGAUGGACUCGCGGCUUAUCAGCUUGUUGGUGGGUUAGUGGCUUACCAAGGCUUUGACGAGUAGCCGGCCUGAGAGGGUGACCGGCCACAUUGGGAAUGAGAUACGGCCCAGACUCCUACGGGAGGCAGCAGUGGGGAAUAUUGCACAAUGGGCGGAAGCCUGAUGCAGCAACGCCGCGUGCGGGAUGACGGCCUUCGGGUUGUAAACCGCUUUCGCCUGUGACGAAGCGUGAGUGACGGUAAUGGGUAAAGAAGCACCGGCUAACUACGUG